rnacentral:snoRNA from 1 species
CCCCUCUUAGAGUCACACCUGGAGAGUUUCCAGUACUCUACCAGUCACAACUACAGGAUGGAGAGUCAUGCAGAGGCAAACCCAUUCCAUUCCUAGCUUGGGCAGUGGCUAGUGAGUGGAAGGCACUCUGUUCCAAGU